GCUGGUUUAUAUGAUAUGUUCAUUCAUAAGUGUGUGUGUGCAUGAAGUUUCAUUGUCAUUGUCUUAGGCCUACACUUAUUUUUUUCUUAGUCACCACAGAAUUGCAAAGACGCAUUGAUCCCAUCCUUGUGUCAAUGAAACCGCAGAGUGAUGAAACUGUGUGUGUGUGUGGCUGAACAAAUGGUGACCAAAACAAGGCCUGAUCAAUCAAAGGCAGGGCUAAUUGAUUGGUGGGCUCUCACCAUUAUGCUGAAAGAGAGAGUGAAGCAGAGAAACAGAGCCAAUAUGCGGGAGAUUGUGGCGACAGGAUCAAACACACUGCUCCAGUCUACGAUCUCAGAUCAAUUCAGAACUGCCCCAAUCAGCCCCUGAGGACUGGCCAUCAUCAUCCACAGAAGCUUAUCUUAGAUGAGGCAGCUGUCUUUGUAAUUUGCACCAUAGGUUUGUAUGCCAGUUUAAGCUAUUUGACUGUUCUAAAGAAAAAUAAAAUAAAGAAAAUAAGAUUGUGUCAUUGGGAUCAAACAAUUAUACAGUAUAUCAUACAGUUUUUGUCUUUCUUUCAGGUAUCAAUAACCAUGUUUUCUUUAUGAUUUGUAUUAAAGAACAAAUUAUAUUUUUCAGUUAAAAAGAAGUUAUCCACCUUUUAUAUUUUUCAGGUUUGCUGCAACCUCCAUCUGAACCCAAGAACGGUGCUUGCUGGGGGAACACUAAAAAUUUAUCACAACGCAUUCUGAUGUGUACAUUUUUAUAAUUGUUAUGACUGAGGUUUGUAAUAAAACAGUUGCAUUAAAUUAGAUAGUACUUUUGGACUGUAUAUUUCAUCAUAAGAGUUGGUUGACAGGGAUGAUUAAUAAUUAAAACACAUUGGAACAUAAUUAAAACACUAUUAAUCAAGUUUUUUUUAAAACUAAUUUAAUUCAUUUUUUCAUUAACUAACUAGUUUCAGUCAUCUUGAAGAUCAUGUAUCAUUGUGAUUAGUAUUUGGGAAAUUGAUCCAAAACAACAACCAGUUCCCAGGCUACUAAUUAGAGUCCGUCCUUUAAUUACAGUACAUUGUAGUUGCUACAUUGUAAUGUUUGCUAUUGAACGUUAAAUUAAACAAGCAAAACUAAACAAGCAAAUACAAGUUGACAAAUUAACAAAUGUAAGUGUUCCAAUGGCUGAUUUCCAAAAAAUGUCAUCCCAAUUCUAAAUACAGAUACAGCUAUGUUAUUUAUUCAUGCUAAAACAGGAUACAGGAAAAAAAGAAGAAAAAAACAAAUUGAAACUUUUCAAAUGUUGUUUGUGCUAUUUGUUAUUAAAAAUGUUUUGAGCACAUUAUAGCAGUGUCGUCUUUUUUUCUUUGUCUUUUAUUUAUUGUUAAUACUUGUAAACGUAACUGAAAUCACUACAUUAUUCAUCCAGUCCUUUUUGCCAAAAACUUUUUUUUUUCCUGUUAAAAAAGAUAACUGCCAUUUUUCCCAUAACAAAGUUGAACUACUGAUCUUCAUAAGGCCAAUAUAAAUGCAAACACAGAAUACUGAAACUUUACUAUUAACUUUAACAAAUGUUGCUUCCUGAAAUAUAAUUUUCAAAGGAAGAAAUGUCAACCUCAUAAUGGGACUGAACAGAAAGG
ensembl:lncRNA